rnacentral:lncRNA from 1 species
GAGAGAGAGACUGGUUCUGACCUUUGGGAGCAGAAGAGAUGAAAACAGAGGUUACUUUUUCUUGUGAACUUGCAAUAUUGUUUUGGAUGACUAGAUGAGAGAAAGGGAAACAGAAAACAAUAAGCUCAGAAUCGGCUUACGAGGAACAAAUAUAUUCCGUUUUCAAAGGAUAGACGUGUUAUAUACAGAACAAUUUGAGAUUGUGUUCCUGUGACAGGUAUAUACAGUAAAGAAGAAACAGCUCUAAGUCUGCAGAGAGAUAAUAAUGCCAGAGAUAAGGGUGCUAAUCGGUGCUGUUGUCGCCAUUCAUUAGAACAACUUCUAUCACAGAGCUAAUCAAGAGUAUAACCUGAUGCUUGACAUAUGGUUUGCGGUAAAUAUUUGUAAAAUGAAUGCAAACUGGUUCCCACAAGGGAAAGAACCGGAAGUUCUUCCUGAUCAAGAUUCUGAAUUCAACCUUACAUUUACUGGCAUUUCCAAAGCUAUGACAUCUUCAUUUCCUUAUGCUACAAAAUCCUUUUGGCAGAGGAGGAUCCAGAGGUAAAAUGAACACCCCAAGUCCUCAUUUCCUCCCACUCCAACUCUUUCAGAAUAUUCCAGUUUCUUUUGGA